rnacentral:rRNA from 1 species
GUGCCAGCAGCCGCGGUAAUACGUAGGGUGCGAGCGUUAAUCGGAAUUACUGGGCGUAAAGCGUGCGCAGGCGGUCAUGCAAGACAGAUGUGAAAUCCCUGGGCUCAACCUGGGAACUGCAUAUGUGACUGUAUGGCUGGAGUACGGCAGAGGGGGAUGGAAUUCCGCGUGUAGCAGUGAAAUGCGUAGAUAUGCGGAGGAACACCGAUGGCGAAGGCAAUCCCCUGGGCCUGUACUGACGCUCAAGCACGAAAGCGUGGGGAGCAAACAGGAUUAGAUACCCUGGUAGUCC